rnacentral:rRNA from 1 species
CAAUCAGACUUCCGGGGGAUACUGCUGGCUAGGGACCGGGAGAGGCCGGGGGAAUUCCCGGGGUAGGGGUGAAAUCCUGUAAUUCCCGGGAGGACCACCUGUGGCGAAGGCGCCCGGCUGGAACGGGUCCGACGGUGAGGGACGAAGGCCAGGGGAGCGAACCGGAUUAGAUACCUGGGUAGUCCUGGCUGUAANCGAUGCGGGCUAGGUGUCACCAGAGCCACGAGCUCCGGUGGUGCCGGAGGGAAGCCGUUAAGCCCGCCGCCUGGGAAGUACGGCCGCAAGGCUGAAACUUAAAGGAAUUGGCGGGGGAGCACUACAACGGGUGGAGCCUGCGGUUCAAUUGGAUUCAACGCCGGGAAGCUUACCGGGNNNGGCAGCUGGAUGAAGGUCGGGCUGAAGACCCUAANCAGGCUAGCUGAGAGGUGGUGCAUGGCCGCCGUCAGUUCGUACUGUGAAGCAUCCUGUUAAGUCAGGCAANNNGCGAGACCCGCGCCCUCAGUUGCCAGCGGAUCCCUUCGGGGAUGCNGGGCACACUGAGGGGACUGCCGGCGCUAAGCCGGAGGAAGNUGCGGGCAACGGCAGGUCCGUAUGCCCCGAAUCCCCCGGGCUACACGCGGGCUACAAUGGCCGGGACAAUGGGUACCGACUCCGAAAGGGGUAGGUAAUCCCCUAAACCCGGUCUAACCUGGGAUCGAGGGCUGCAACUCGCCCUCGUGAACCUGGAAUCCGUAGUAAUNNNCGCCUCAAAAUGGNNNGGUGAAUAC